rnacentral:rRNA from 1 species
CCGCAACGAAGCCGGUUAGGGUAGAACAGGUAACUAGGGCUAAGUCGUAACAAGGUAGCCGUACCGGAAGGUGCGGCUGGAUCACCUCCUUUCUGGAGC